AGUGAGAAGUGAAGAUGAUUACAAAAAUAAAAUCUUAUAUUGAGUCUGCGCUCCACUUCUCAUUUAUAAUCUUAUGAUGAUAUAGCAGGAGAUUGCUAUGUUGCCCGGCAGAGGCUUUGUAUCUGGGCACUAGUCUCAACAGAUGACGACACUUCUGUUCAAUCUCAUAUCCUAUCCAUACUGGAUGUAAAACACGCAUGUGGCGCUGACUGGUGCGUUAACCAGUUUUUUAAAUAUAUAGCCCUUUCCAUCUGUUGAAAAUUGAGCAGGUGGUUUUU
rnacentral:sRNA from 14 species